GGAUUAGAUACCCGGGUAGUCCACGCCCUAAACGAUGAAUACUAGUUGUCGGGAUACCUAAUUGUCUCGGUGACGAAGCUAACGCAUUAAGUAUUCCGCCUGGGGAUUACGGUCGCAAGAUUAAAACUCAAAGGAAUUGACGGGGGCCCGCACAAGCGGUGGAGCAUGUGGUUUAAUUCGAUGCUACGCGAAAAACCUUACCCAGGCUUGACAUCCCGCGCUACCCUAUGAAAGUAGGGGUUCCCUUCGGGGACGCGGUGACAGGUGCUGCAUGGCUGUCGUCAGCUCGUGUUGUGAGAUGUUGGGUUAAGUCCCGCAACGAGCGCAACCCUCGUCACUAGUUACCAGCAUUUAGUUGGGGACUCUAGUGAGACCGCUGGGCUAUAAGCCAGAG
rnacentral:rRNA from 1 species